rnacentral:rRNA from 1 species
AGCGUAGACGGACUGGCAAGCCUGAUGUGAAAGGCGGGGGCUCAACCCCUGGACUGCAUUGGAAACUGUUAGUCUUGAGUGCCGGAGAGGUAAGCGGAAUUCCUAGUGCAGCGGUGAAAUGCGUAGAUAUUAGGAGGAACACCAGUGGCGAAGGCGGCUUACUGGACGGUAACUGACGUUGAGGCUCGAAAGCGUGGGGAGCAAACA